GACGAACGCUGGCGGCGUGCUUAACACAUGCGAGUCGAACGGUAAGGCUCCAGCUUGCUGGGGUACACGAGUGGCGAACGGGUGAGUAACACGUGGGUGACCUGCCCUGCACUUCGGGAUAAGCCUGGGAAACUGGGUCUAAUACCGGAUAGGACCGCACCGUGAGGGUGUGGUGGAAAGUUUUUUCGGUGUGGGAUGGGCCCGCGGCCUAUCAGCUUGUUGGUGGGGUAAUGGCCUACCAAGGCGGCGACGGGUAGCCGGCCUGAGAGGGUGGACGGCCACAUUGGGACUGAGACACGGCCCAGACUCCUACGGGAGGCAGCAGUGGGGAAUAUUGCACAAUGGGCGGAAGCCUGAUGCAGCGACGCCGCGUGGGGGAUGACGGCCUUCGGGUUGUAAACUCCUUUCACCAUCGACGAAGGGUUUCUGACGGUAGAUGGAGAAGAAGCACCGGCUAACUACGUG
rnacentral:rRNA from 1 species